GACGAACGCUGGCGGCGUGCUUAACACAUGCAAGUCGAACGGAUUGGCGAUCGGUUGAGUAACACGUGGUUGACCUGCCCUGCCCUUCGGGAUAAGCCUGGGAAACUGUGUCUAAUACCGGCUAGUGUGGGAGGGUCCCGCGGCCUAUCAGCUUGUUGGUGGGGUAAUGGCCUACCAAGGCGGCGACGGGUAGCCGGCCUGAGAGUGUGGACGGCCACAUAGGGACUGGGAAACGGCCCAGACGCAUACGGGAGGCAGCAGGGGGGAAUAGUGCACAAUGGGCGGAAGCCUGAUGCAGGGACGCCGCGUGGGGGAGGACGGCCUUCGGGUUGUAAACACCGUUCACCAGCGAAGCGGUAGAUGGAGAAGAAGCACCGGCUAACUACGUGCCAGCAGCCGCGGUAAUUC
rnacentral:rRNA from 1 species